rnacentral:tRNA from 1 species
GCCUUAGUGCUUACUGGCGCUCAUGGGGCGACAUUAGAAACGUGCUGAAACGGAUUCAAAAUCCGCCGCCGCAAGGCAUGUCGGUUCGAGUCCGACCUCGGGUACCA